rnacentral:rRNA from 1 species
UACGGGGGGGGGCAAGCGUUGUUCGGAAUUACUGGGCGUAAAGGGCUCGUAGGCGGCCAACUAAGUCGGAUGUGAAAUCCCCAGGCUUAACCUGGGAACUGCAUCCGAUACUGGAUGGCUUGAAUCCGGGAGAGGGAUGCAGAAUUCCAGGUGUAGCGGUGAAAUGCGUAGAUAUCUGGAGGAAUACCGGUGGCGAAGGCGGCAUCCUGGACCGGCAUUGACGCUGAGUGAGCGAAAGCCAGGGGAGCAAACGGGG